rnacentral:rRNA from 1 species
AGAGAGAGACAUGCGCGCAUAUCAAUAAGCGGAGGAAAAGAAACUAACAAGGAUUCCCUUAGUAACGGCGAGUGAAGCGGGAAGAGCUCAAAUUUGAAAUCUUCAAGGUUCUACCUUGACGAAUUGUAGUUUAUAGAAGUGUUUUCUGUUAGUGGAGUGGCAAAAGUUCUUUGGAAUAGGACAUCAUAGAGGGUGAGAAUCCCGUAUUUGGUCAUUCCUCCUAGCGUUGUGAUACACUUUCAACGAGUCGGAUUGUUUGGGAAUGCAGUCCAAAAUGGGUGGUAAAUUUCAUCUAAAGCUAAAUAUUGGCGAGAGACCGAUAGCGAACAAGUACCGUGAGGGAAAGAUGAAAAGAACUUUGAAAAGAGAGUUAAACAGUCACGUGAAAUUGUCAAAAGGGAAGCGUUUGACACCAGUGUUGUUUUUCCGAAAAUCAAUUACGAAUGUUUUAGUUUUUGAGGAGUUAUGACUUCAUCGGCUUGCUCCUUUCUUUAUGAAACUUUCUUAAUGCACUUUUCGGUUAACAAGUCAACAUCAAUUUCUUUUGUUGUAAAAGGGUAUGAGGAAGGUGGCUUUCUCUUCGGAGAAAGUGUUUAUAGCCUUGUACCUCUGCAAUCGGAGAGAUUGAGGUCUGCAGCGUAGAUCCUUCGGGGUUAGAUACAUUUGUGCUAAGUUAUAGCUUUUCAUAGACAACUUGUCGACUAUGUUUAGUCUUGUAGCUUACUCGCUUACUGCUAUUUUACCUACGCUUAGGAUGUUGAUAGUCACAGCGUGUAC